rnacentral:rRNA from 1 species
GUUCCGUAGGUGACCUGCGGAGGAUCAUUA